AAACCAGGAUUAGAUACCCUAUUAUAUUUAAACAAACUGGGUAGUAUUAUUAAUAAAAACCUUUAUACUUUGGCGGCAUUUUAUCUUAUUAGAGGAAUAUGUUCAUUAAUCGAAACCACACGAUAGUUUUUACUUACUAUAAAAUUUUAUAUACCCCCGUCUAAAGAAUUUAUUUAAAAUUUUUAUUCCAAAUUAUAUUAAAAAAAGUUAGGUAAAGGUGUAGACUAUUAGUAAGAUUAAAUGUAUUACAUUAAAAAAAAUUUAAGGAUAAAACAGUUAACUGUUUAUUAAAAGAGGAUUUAUAAGUAAUUUACUUUUAAUAAAAAUUAAUGAAUAAGAAAAUAAAUGUGCACAUAUCGCCCGUCACUCU
rnacentral:rRNA from 1 species